ACAUAGAUUAGUAGUUAUAGGUU
rnacentral:piRNA from 1 species